AGUUAAUGAACUUGUUAAAGUAUAUGUUUUGAAAGCAUAAAAAAGGGUUAAUACCCCCUAUUAACUU
rnacentral:tRNA from 1 species